rnacentral:rRNA from 1 species
CCUACGGGAGGCAGCAGUGGGGAAUAUUGCACAAUGGGGGAAACCCUGAUGCAGCGACGCCGCGUGAGUGAAGAAGUAAUUCGUUAUGUAAAGCUCUAUCAGCAGGGAAGAAAAUGACGGUACCUGACUAAGAAGCCCCGGCUAACUACGUGCCAGCAGCCGCGGUAAUACGUAGGGGGCAAGCGUUAUCCGGAUUUACUGGGUGUAAAGGGAGCGUAGACGGCAUGGUAAGUCUGGAGUGAAAGGCGGGGGCUCAACCCCCGGACUGCUUUGGAAACUAUACGGCUGGAGUGCAGGAGAGGUAAGUGGAAUUCCUAGUGUAGCGGUGAAAUGCGUAGAUAUUAGGAGGAACACCAGUGGCGAAGGCGGCUUACUGGACUGUAACUGACGUUGAGGCUCGAAAGCGUGGGGAGCAAACAGGAUUAGAUACCCUUGUAGUC